rnacentral:rRNA from 1 species
CCCCAACCCGCGAAGGGAGGGCGGUCCCCAAGGAGGUGGCUGGUAACUGGGGUGAAGUCGUAACAAGGUUACC